AUUGAACGCUGGCGGCAGGCCUAACACAUGCAAGUCGAACGAGUGGCGGACGGGUGAGUAAUGUCUGGGAAACUGCCUGAUGGAGGGGGAUAACUACUGGAAACGGUAGCUAAUACCGCAUACUAUUGGAGCGGCCGAUAUCGGAUUAGCUAGUUGGUGGGGUAAAGGCUCACCAAGGCAACGAUCCGUAGCUGGUUUGAGAGGACGACCAGCCACACUGGGACUGAGACACGGCCCAGACUCCUACGGGAGGCAGCAGUGGGGAAUUUUGGACAAUGGGGGAAACCCUGAUCCAGCCAUCCCGCGUGUAUGAUGAAGGCCUUCGGGUUGUAAAGUACUUUUGGCAGAGAAGCGGUAUCUGCAGAAUAAGCACCGGCUAACUACGUGCCAGCAGCCGCGGUAAUUC
rnacentral:rRNA from 1 species